ACGAACGCUGGCGGCGUGCUUAACACAUGCAAGUCGAACGGAAAGGCCCUGCUUUUGUGGGGUGCUCGAGUGGCGAACGGGUGAGUAACACGUGAGUAACCUGCCCUUGACUUUGGGAUAACUUCAGGAAACUGGGGCUAAUACCGGAUAGGAGCUCCUGCUGCAUGGUGGGGGUUGGAAAGUUUCGGCGGUUGGGGAUGGACUCGCGGCUUAUCAGCUUGUUGGUGGGGUAGUGGCUUACCAAGGCUUUGACGGGUAGCCGGCCUGAGAGGGUGACCGGCCACAUUGGGACUGAGAUACGACCCAGACUCCUACGGGAGGCAGCAGUGGGGAAUAUUGCACAAUGGGCGGAAGCCUGAUGCAGCAACGCCGCGUGCGGGAUGACGGCCUUCGGGUUGUAAACCGCUUUCGCCUGUGACGAAGCGUGAGUGACGGUAAUGGGUAAAGAAGCACCGGCUAACUACGUG
rnacentral:rRNA from 1 species